AAUUGAAGAGUUUGAUCAUGGCUCAGAUUGAACGCUGGCGGCAGGCCUAACACAUGCAAGUCGAACGGUAACAGGAAACAGCUUGCUGUUUCGCUGACGAGUGGCGGACGGGUGAGUAAUGUCUGGGAAACUGCCUGAUGGAGGGGGAUAACUACUGGAAACGGUAGCUAAUACCGCAUAACGUCGCAAGACCAAAGAGGGGGACCUUCGGGCCUCUUGCCAUCGGAUGUGCCCAGAUGGGAUUAGCU
rnacentral:rRNA from 1 species